UCUUCACCAACUCCUCUGCCUCUUUCCUCUGCCUCACCUGUCAAAACGAUCUUUUAA
rnacentral:sRNA from 1 species